GUUUUGGGUAAUCUUCCGAGCAUGCGCAGUGUUAAACCGGACACGUUUCCCUGGGUUACCGUCAACAAUUCUGUUAGCUUAAAACAGCUAGGUUAGUUUGUCUGCGGGUUUCUGUUGUUUAUCACCCGUUUUAUGUUGGUAUAAUGAAGCACACGUUUUUCAUGUCACAAUUUAAGUCUGACUAAAGCUAAUUUAACUACAACAGCGGAAAAGGAGCGCAACGGCUAACUAGCUUUAGCUAACACAUGCUAGCAUGCUAAUGUCAGUGUGCGCAAUGAGGAGAAAACCGUUUGUAGUUUUCAGGAUGACAACUCAGGAUUUCAGAACACUGGCUUACACGAAAAGCCCGAAAACAUCGAAAAGAACAACCUUUCAGGAUGAACUACAGGCUGCUAUCUCUGCCAGAGCAAGCAAAACAAAACACUUCAAUACUCCUACUAUAAUGACUUCGAUGUGGAUGAUGAUGAUUUUUUGAAGGAACUUCUCAAAUCAAGAAAAAUGAGGACUGAUGCAUUCAAGGCCGGGAAGAGCAAAGCCAAAACAAACACCUUUGAGCUCUCAGAUGAUGAAGGAAAACAGAGUAGGACAAAAAAGUUUCAUUCCUGAAGUCUCAAAGAAUCAGUUCUCCUUCAAACGACGCAACAGCAUCAGAGUCGCAUGAAAACGAGCUUCCAGACUCCUCUGCCGGACACACUAAUUACAAUGGAUC